GUCCUCAUAUGACCCGUCUCUGGCCCAGGCUUGGUGGCGGUGUUUGACUACCACAGGAAGAAGGGCUACGCUGACCUGUACAGCCUACACAGCUGGUGCGGGAUCCUUGUCUUUGUCCUGUACUUUGUGCAGUGGCUGGUGGGCUUCAGCUUCUUCCUGUUCCCCGGAGCUUCAUUCUCCCUGCGGAGCCGCUACCGCCCACAGCACAUCUUCUUUGGUGCUACCAUCUUCCUCCUUUCCGUGGGCACCGCCCUGCUGGGCCUGAAGGAGGCACUGCUGUUCAACCUCGG
rnacentral:lncRNA from 1 species